rnacentral:tRNA from 1 species
CCCUCUGUAGCUCAGUUGGUUAGAGCGCUGCACCGGAAUCGCAGGGCCGUAGGUUCAAUUCCUACCAGAGGAC